rnacentral:rRNA from 1 species
UUGACCUCGAAUCAGGUAGGAAUACCCGCUGAACUUAAGCAUAUCAAUAAGCGGAGGAAAAGAAACCAACAGGGAUUGCCCCAGUAACGGCGAGUGAAGCGGCAACAGCUCAAAUUUGAAAUCUGGCUCUCGGGCCCGAGUUGUAAUUUGUAGAGGAUGCUUUUGGUGAGGUGCCUUCCGAGUUCCCUGGAACGGGACGCCACAGAGGGUGAGAGCCCCGUCUGGUUGGACACCGAGCCUCUGUAAAGCUCCUUCGACGAGUCGAGUAGUUUGGGAAUGCUGCUCUAAAUGGGAGGUAUAUGUCUUCUAAAGCUAAAUACCGGCCAGAGACCGAUAGCGCACAAGUAGAGUGAUCGAAAGAUGAAAAGAACUUUGAAAAGAGAGUUAAACAGUACGUGAAAUUGUUGAAAGGGAAGCGCUUGUGACCAGACUUGGGCUUGGUUGAUCAUCCGGGGUUCUCCCCGGUGCACUCUUCCGGCUCAGGCCAGCAUCAGUUCGCCCUGGGGGACAAAGGCAGCGGGAAUGUGGCUCUCUCCGGGGAGUGUUAUAGCCCGCUGCGUAAUACCCUGUGGCGGACUGAGGUUCGCGCAUUCGCAAGGAUGCUGGCGUAAUGGUCAUCAGUGAC